rnacentral:rRNA from 1 species
CCUACGGGUGGCAGCAGUGAGGAAUAUUGGUCAAUGGGCGCAAGCCUGAACCAGCCAAGUCGCGUGAGGGAUGACGGUCCUAUGGAUUGUAAACCUCUUUUGUCGGGGAGCAAGGCCCGCCACGUGUGGCGGGAAGGAGAGUACCCGAAGAAAAAGCAUCGGCUAACUCCGUGCCAGCAGACGCGGUAAGACGGAGGAUGCGAGCGUUAUCCGGAUUUAUUGGGUUAAAGGGGUGCGCAGGCGGAAGGUUAAGUCAGCGGUAAAAUGUCGGUGCUCAACACCGGCCUGCCGUUGAAACUGGUCAUCUUGAGUGAGCGAGAAGAAUGCGGAAUGCGUGGUGUAGCAGUGAAAUGCAUAGAUAUCACGCGGAACACCGAUUGCGAAGGCGGCAUACCGGCGCUCAACUGACGCUGAGGCACGAAAGCGUGGGGAUCGAACAGGAUUAGAUACCCCAGUAGUC